rnacentral:pre_miRNA from 1 species
AAUGGAAUUGCUGGUCAUUGCUAACUUUUUGAAGAACUGCCAAACUAUUUUCCAAAGUAUCUGCACCAUUUUACAUUUUCGUCAGCAAU